GAUGAACGCUGGCGGCGUGCCUAAUACAUGCAAGUCGAGCGAACGGACGAGAAGCUUGCUUUUCCGAUGUUAGCGGCGGACGGGUGAGUAACACGUGGAUAACCUACCUAUAAGACUGGGAUAACUUCGGGAAACCGGAGCUAAUACCGGAUAAUAUUUUGAACCGCAUGGUUCAAAAGUGAAAGACGGUCUUGCUGUCACUUAUAGAUGGAUCCGCGCUGCAUUAGCUAGUUGGUAAGGUAACGGCUUACCAAGGCAACGAUGCAUAGCCGACCUGAGAGGGUGAUCGGCCACACUGGAACUGAGACACGGUCCAGACUCCUACGGGAGGCAGCAGUAGGGAAUCUUCCGCAAAGGGCGAAAGCCUGACGGAGCAACGCCGCGUGAGUGAUGAAGGUCUUCGGAUCGUAAAACUCUGUUAUUAGGGAAGAACAUAUGUGUAAGUAACUGUGCACAUCUUGACGGUACCUAAUCAGAAAGCCACGGCUAACUACGUG
rnacentral:rRNA from 1 species